rnacentral:rRNA from 1 species
UACGAAGGGGGCUAGCGUUGCUCGGAAUCACUGGGCGUAAAGGGUGCGUAGGCGGGUCUUUAAGGUCAGGGGUGAAAUCCUGGAGCUCAACUCCCAGUAACUGCCUUUGAUACUGAAGAUCUUGAGUUCGGGAGAGGUGAGUGGAACUGCGAGUGUAGAGGUGAAAUUCGUAGAUAUUCGCAAGAACACCAGUGGCGAAGGCGGCUCACUGGCCCGAUACUGACGCUGAGGUGCGAAAGCGUGGGGAGCAACAGGG